rnacentral:rRNA from 1 species
UUCAAGAGUACGUGAAACCGCUCAGGGGUAAACCUGCGAAACUCGAAUGAACGAACGGGGAGAUUCAUCGUUAUUCCGCGGCGUGGUGGCGCACUCUCGAUAUCUACGGUCUCGGCCGUGCGGUACGGGGUGUGUCGUUUUCGACGUUCGUGGACGGCGUGCACUUCUCCCUUAGUAAUACAUCGCGACCCGUUCGAUGUCGGUCUAAGCGCCGUUCGGGAGUCACUGUUGCACCUUUCGGGGCGUCAGCGGUGACCGUGACGGUUGCCGACCGGCUGUCGGACGGUAUUUUAACGGAUCGCGUACGCGUUUAUGCGCGUCCGGCCCGACGCAAGGCUACGUCGUUCACCCCCGUCCUGCCCGAGUGCGGGCGGGGGUGCGGCGCGCCUGUCGUCGCAGCCGUGCUGUCUCGGACUGUACGCGUCCCGUGUCUGCGAUGAUUCAGUUUCGGGCACUCGCAGGACCCGUCUUGA